GACGAACGCUGGCGGCGUGCCUAACACAUGCAAGUCGAGCGGAGUUGUGUUGGUUAGCUUGCUAACUGAUGCAACUUAGCGGCGGACGGGUGAGUAACGCGUGAGCAACCUACCUUAUAGAGGGGGAUAACACACCGAAAGGUGUGCUAAUACCGCAUGAUGUUACUAUAUCGCAUGGUAUGGUAAUCAAAGGAGCAAUCCGCUAUAAGAUGGGCUCGCGUCUGAUUAGCUAGUUGGUAGGGUAACGGCCUACCAAGGCGACGAUCAGUAGCCGACCUGAGAGGGUGACCGGCCACAUUGGGACUGAGACACGGCCCAGACUCCUACGGGAGGCAGCAGUGGGGAUAUUGCGCAAUGGGGGAAACCCUGACGCAGCGACGCCGCGUGAAGGAAGAAGGUCUUCGGGAUCGGUAAACUUCUUUGAUUAGGGAAGAAUAGAUGACAGUACCUAAGAACAAGCCACGGCUAACUACGUGCCAGCAGCCGCGGUAAAAUAC
rnacentral:rRNA from 1 species